rnacentral:rRNA from 1 species
GUCCACGCUGUAAACUAUGAUUACUCGAUGUGUGCGAUACACUGUACGCGUCUUAGCGAAAGCGAUAAGUAAUCCACCUGGGGAGUACGCUCGCAAGAGUGAAACUCAAAGGAAUUUACGGGGGCCCCGCACAAGCGGAGGAGUAUGUGGUUUAAUUCGAUGAUACGCGAGGAACCUUACCUGGGCUUGAAAGUUAGUGACCGAUCCUGAAAGGGAUUUUUCCGCAAGGACACGAAACUAGGUGCUGCAUGGCUGUCGU